rnacentral:snRNA from 1 species
GUACAUGAGGGUGAUCUGGUUGCAACAUGUCACCCUACAGAUUGCCAGGGUUGGUGCAGCUGAGCUGGCUGAUGAGGCAGGAGUCCCCUUGCUCCUCUGCUGCUCCCCUGUGCGAGCCUCCCAAAGCUGCAGGCUGGGUCGAAGAGGACCUUCCCUGAUAGAGGAUGUAGGAGUCAAGGUCAAGGUCACCCUGUCAAGGGUGUAGGAGUAGCUGUACUCACCUUCGAGAACCCCCUCCCCCCAAACUCUCAAGGUCCUUUUGCAGGAGAAUGUAUGUAGUCAAGCUUCCAAGACUCCAGGCACAUCCAAAUGAGGCACUGCAUGUCUGCAGUCUGCCUUUCUUU